rnacentral:ncRNA from 1 species
UUAAAAGUGAUGAUCUGGAAAUAGUAUGGGGCAUACUGUAGUGCAGAGAGGAAACCAUUUGGUGAGAGGUUUCUAUACAGUUCUUCAGAACCCGUCCGGAGAACUGCAGGCGAUGAGCCUUGCCGGGAACAGCUCCGUUAACAGGCUGGGGAUAUCUUCUAUUAAUAAUAGAAUGUGUCUCACUGAGAUGACUUUGUGUCAAAAAAGGUGGUACCGCGAAUGAGACUUCGCCCUUUUA